CUCCUCUCGAUCCACCCCCUCCCGCUGCGACCUCUCUCUUUCCCUCUUUCUCCCACUCCACCGCCGCCGCCCUGCCUCCCGCUCCACCACCGAGAGGCUAUCGAGGAGGCGGCAUUGAUAUCCGAGAGGAGUCGCCCUUCGCCGCCGCCGAGAUCCCGUGCCUCUCUACAGAUCCCUCUCGCUCUCCUCUUCGCCCAUCCAUCUGGAUCGAAAGUCGAAACCCGCCUCCCCUAUGUCUCUGCUGGUGCUCGAAGGAAGACGAGGGCGGCUCGUCCCAGCGAUUCCCCGUGGUCCUCGGCGGAGGCGACGGCUAGCUGCAGCGAAAAGACAAUGGGGUGAUGGGCGCCGGGGGCGGGCACUGGCGGUCGGCGGAAGGCGCUGUGGAGGCCGGCGGCGGGAGCGGACUAAGCCGAGGUACUGCGUGUAAGAGGAGCUGAUAAUUUACAUUUUCCCCGGCAGCGCGAUUCAUGAUAGGGUAGGACCUGGUUGUGGCCUUCUUCCGCGACUUCUUGGGCUCUGUCAGCCCCAACCUCCGUUUCACCAUCGACGGCAGGUACGGCCACGACCCCUCCGCCGUUGACGUCACAUGGCACCUCAAAACGCAAAUUAUCAGCUCCGCGGAAGCUGCCGGCUGCCAGAUCAGUGCAGCCUAAUGUGUGAAGCGAGAAGUUUGGAUCUGGUGGUAGAAGUCCUUUGAACGUGGACAAAUCAAUACCAAAAUUGAUGUGGUUCUUACAAUCUUUAUGUACAGUGUUUUUUUGAGGAGCAAGUAGGUGGAGCACACGAGUGACGUGAUACUCCAAACUCUGACUGGAGACGUGAUACUCCAAACUCUGACUAGACUAACUCUUAGCAUCUCAUAAUGUGAUGUCUACACGAGAUGGAGCACGCCGCCUCGUCGAUGCAUGAGCCGGUGAGGUCUAAAUCAAGCUGUGCGUGUCUUGGUGAGAAUUUUUGGACUGCAUUUUGUGGUUGCGAAGGAAAUUGUGGGCGGUGUAGGAUCUAUACUGUACGUGGAUUGCAAUAACUGGAUUGAUGAGAAGAGGAGGGCAGCAAGGAGGAACAUGGGGGCGUGUGGCUGGGGCGUUUCUCUUGCACUAGGGUCGGGAAGCGAUUUUGCAAUAGAUUUUAUAGGGGGUAGAAGGAGAGUUUGUGCGAGGGUGCAGGUGCGCCGGUGGUACUGGUUGAACCCAUGGAAGUUCUGAGCUCAUAAUUGCUAUGAAAUCUACACAAAAGUUUGUGAUUUUGUUAACCUGACAAGAGCUUGAUGUUCAUGUCAGUCCUUUCUUUAGAUGUUAACCUGCCAUUCCUUUCUAGAUGAUGACUUGAUGUUCUUCUACUAAGGCGGUGCAUCUAAGGUUUCUUUACUUGCUAACUGACUAUUCAGUUCAACAACGGCCCAUGCGGUAGAAUCGAGGCUGCAACUCUGGCACUUCAAAGAGGAAAGGAAAACAUGACUACUUCAUGGCAAGAAGUCAGGCACAGCCAUCCCUACCAUGGCAUCGGCGUGGCCUUCCCUGCCAGGUGCGGCGGCUCCUUGGUCCGAUCGCGGUGCUGAUGCAGAUGGAUCGACGAGGGUUAGCAGGCUCGCCGGCUGGUGUUUCCUCGGACGCAUCGCUGUUCCAAUCGUGAUGGCAUGACCAUAUGAAUCUACAAGACUUUGAGGCAGCUCAUUUGCGUUGAUGUUUGUGGCUGGGCACACAAUCCAUUAAUCCUUCAAAUUUUCGCACAGAAGAACGGAUGGUCCACUGUAGAAGAAGCACAAGCAUCAUGUGGCAUCUAUCUCUUUCGCACUACUACCUGCAGCUAGAGGCAUCAGGCCUAGGAAGGUUAGAGUGCAGCUUUCAGAUAACUUCUUUCUUUGGGAUAGUUGGAAUACUAUGACUAGAUAUAGAAGAGGCUCAAAUGGUAAUGUUAUCAGUGUUUGCCCCUUCCAUGAUUUAUGUGUAGCAUGUAGACUAUCAGCGACAAUUUGAGCCUCUUUGUGAAGUAGUUUUGUAGGGUAUUGCUUCAAGUCAAGAAAAUGAAUGACCACAAGUGGGCCGUUGACUGACAAUCCAAAGAUAGUUUAACCGAAGAGCUUCUGAUCUCUACAUGUGAAUGGCGCCCACCGACUGUGUGUAUGCCUGUUACCUACGGCGCCGUUGUUGCUUCCCUCGGUCGGGCGUGGUCCACCAGCCACUACCUGUAGGCAAUAGCAUUAGGCCGGCAACUAUCGCGGAUCAAGGGUACAAAUCAACCAGACUAGGAGAGGGGGUGGUGGUCUACGUUGUGGUAGGGAGAGGAAGCGAUGGCUGACACCAAGGCUGGGAGAGGAGCCGGCAGAUGAUGUUAUGGCGGGACAAGAGGAGCAGUGGCGGGGAGAGAAAGCGGCGACUAUGCCAUGUGAGUUGCUGAAGUUGUGCCUUGUGAGGUGGGGAUAAGGGAUGUGUGUUGUGCAUGUGUAGUGAGAGGCGUGGAGUAGCUUUUCCUUUUUGAGGGAGGCUGUUUAUUUGUCUAGAACAGAUUAGCUUCUUUUCCUUUCUCCCUUGUGAACUGAGAGGAGUGGUUAUUAUGCCACGAGAGAAGUGUCAAAUAUUCUAGAAAUAGCAAAAAUUGUUCUAAAGAUAAUAGCCAAACAAGUGAUCUAGAGAAUGUCCUAUGUUGCUACAAAGCAGGAUGCGACUCACUCCACACAUGCAUACCAUGUAUAUAUUUUGGAUUCACUCUACAUCACAUUUGGUAGAGAAUAAAGCUAUGAGAU